rnacentral:lncRNA from 1 species
ACCAAAAAGCAGGAUACCGUUUACUACCAUACAAAGAUACAUAGUCCAGAUGAUGUUGAGCAAAAAAAAUCACAAUAUAUUACAUGGGAAAGAAACAUGUCAUUCUUGUACAUAGGCGAACCCCUAACAAAGCAAUGUCCUAGACUACUUAGGUAUCAUCUUCACACCUCCAUGAGACUCCAGGUUGUAGCCUUAAAGAUAAGUGUAGACAAACCCUGUCAAACAAAGUAAUGUUUCUCUAUUUCAGAUUGGGAGAAUCAUGAUAGAGAGGCAUGAGACCACAAACAGUAGCAUUGGUAAAUCGGUAGCUGGAUCCAUCCAAAGCACCAAAACACAACCUCUCUACCGCAGUCUUCUACUAAACAUCAUCAACAUGGAUCAUGCCAAACGCUAAAUGUAAAACAAAGCAAUCAAUGCCUUCCAAACAUAACAACAUGAUAUUCUUUACCCAAGAUCAAAAGCAAGAAAGUUGGUUCUUGGGAUUUAUAUCGUAAUGGAACCAAAAAUCCUAAUAAUAUUAGUACUUACUAAGAAUUUCACAACACCUAGAUCAGUUAAGAAAAUUCUAUCUUCCUGGACCACCACAAAGAGGAAGGGACGAACCUGGGAACCUGUAGGUACAACACACUCUAAGCACGGAGGCAUCCAUGCCAAUCCGAAGGAGUACCCACCGCAUGCCCAAACCCCGCCACCGGACAACAGGCAUAGCAGUGUUUCCCAGCAGAUGCAGCAGC